rnacentral:rRNA from 1 species
GACGAACCGAGCGAACGUUGUUCGGAAUCACUGGGCUUAAAGGGCGCGUAGGCGGGCUAUCACGUCCGGGGUGAAAUCCUCCAGCUUAACUGGAGAACGGCCUCGGAUACUGAUGGUCUCGAGGGAGGUAGGGGCACGCGGAACUGUGGGUGGAGCGGUGAAAUGCGUUGAUAUCGUGAGGAACGCCGGUGGCGAAGGCGGCACGCUGGACCUCUUCUGACGCUGAGGCGCGAAAGCCAGGGGAGCAAACGGG